rnacentral:rRNA from 1 species
AUUGAACGCUGGCGGCAGGCCUAACACAUGCAAGUCGAGCGGAUGAAGGGAGCUUGCUACUGGAUUCAGCGGCGGACGGGUGAGUAAUGCCUAGGAAUCUGCCUGGUAGUGGGGGGUAACGUCCGGAAAAGGGCGCUAAUACAGCAUACGCCAUGAGGGAGAGAGAGGGGGAGCUUCGGACCUCACGCUAUCAGAUGAGCGUAGGUCGGAUUAGCUAGUUGGUGGGGUAAAGGCCUACCAAGGCGACGAUCCGUAACUGGUCUGAGAGGAUGAUCAGUCACACUGGAACUGAGACACGGUCCAGACUCCUACGGGAGGCAGCAGUGGGGAAUAUUGGACAAUGGGCGAAAGCCUGAUCCAGCCAUGCCGCGUGUGUGAAGAAGGUCUUCGGAUUGUAAAGCACUUUUAGUUGGGAGGAAGGGCAGUAAGUUAAUACCUUGCUGUUUUGACGUUACCAACAGAAUAAGCACCGGCUAACUUCGUG